CCACUGACCAGAACGGAACCAGCACUGUUGAACUGGCUGCUUGGAGAGCCACUCAAAUCUACAUCUGCAGGAACAUUAUUAAGUUUUGAGCAACUGGAGAUCGCUCGCAUGGAAUGGCACGUUUGAAUUGGGUAAAUGAGCUCAAUCCAGCUGCAGGAUGGUCAUAACAGAUAGUAGCAUUUUUUUGCCGUUUGAGAAACUGCACCUAAGACCGUCAAGUAGACAGGAAUAUUCAUAAAAGAAACAGAGGCCAAACAUGGGCAAAAGGAGUUGGCCAUGGUCAGCAUGGAUGAAUUAGGCCUAAGGACCAGUUUCCAUGACUAAAAGGGUGAAGUGUACGGAAAUGGAAGCUGUCAACUUAUCUAAAUCAGGAUAACACACAACUCAGAGAACCUGGAACACCCGGAUUAUAAAUCUACACCCAUUAAUUAAACUUUAGGUUGAGAUUAAGGCAGGUUUGUACCAGUUUUAGAGCAGCUGCUUGGAUUUGGAUCAAUAAUUGAGCAGGGCAAAGAAAAGUUAACUGUGGUAAUCACUGAUGAUUUAUUAGACAAUACUUAAAUAAUCUACAUAUGCAUCAAGGAACUGAACUAUAAAUUUAAAUAGACUGUUACAUGCACACAGAAACAGUUUGACAAUAGAAUUAAAUAAAAAUCAUAAAAAACCUUGAUUUUCCAAUAAUUUUGCCAAUAAUGUAAAUUAUUCUCACGAUGUUUGUAAUAGUUCUCUUAUUAUUUAUUAUUUUAUUAUUCAUAUUGUUGUUUAUUCUACCAGGCAGUUAACUUUGCUAAGAUGGAUCCAAUAUCUGCUUUCUAGAUCAAAUCAAAUUUAACAGUUUUCUUUUGUGCAAUAAGCAUUAAACUAUUUAAUAUGCCAGCUUUAUGAUACCUAUGCAUUUACUCAAAGUAAAUUUAUUAGUAAAUUAAUCAUUUAUUAAUAAAAAAGACUUAUUUUCUU